rnacentral:rRNA from 1 species
AUUGAACGCUGGCGGCAUGCUUUACACAUGCAAGUCGAGCGGCAGCGCGGGGCAACCCUGGCGGCGAGCGGCGAACGGGUGAGUAAUACAUCGGAACGUGUCCCGUAGUGGGGAGUAGCCCGGCGAAAGCCGGAUUAAUACCGCAUAUGCUCUACGGAGGAAAGUGGGGGACUCGCAAGGGCCUCACGCUAUGGGAGCGGCCGAUGUCCGAUUAGCUUGUUGGCGGGGUAAUGGCCCACCAAGGCGACGAUCGGUAGCUGGUCUGAGAGGAUGAUCAGCCACACUGGGACUGAGACACGGCCCAGACUCCUACGGGAGGCAGCAGUGGGGAAUUUUGGACAAUGGGGAAACCCUGAUCCAGCCAUGCCGCGUGCGGGAAGAAGGCCUGGUG